rnacentral:snRNA from 1 species
GUGCUCACUUUGGCAGCACAUAUACUAAAAUUGGAAUGACACAACUGAUGAACUUACACUUGAUGAUGAUUUUUUUUUUCUUUUUUUUGUGGUACCAGGUACCAGGUACCAGAAGAUUAGCAUGGCCCUUGCACAGGAUUACAUGCAAAUUCAUGAAACAUUCCAUAUUUUU